UACGUAGGGGGCAAGCGUUGUCCGGAAUCAUUGGGCGUAAAGCGCGUGUAGGCGGCUUGGUAAGUCUGCUCUGAAAGCCCGGGGCUCAACCCCGGGAGGCGGGUGGAUACUGUCAAGCUCGAGUCCGGAAGAGGAGUGUGGAAUUCCUGGUGUAGCGGUGAAAUGCGCAGAUAUCAGGAGAACACCAAUGGCGAAGGCAGCACU
rnacentral:rRNA from 1 species